AUACGGAGGGUGCAAGCGUUACUCGGAAUCACUGGGCGUAAAGCGCGCGCAGGCGGCCUGAUAAGUUGGAUGUGAAAGCCUACGGCUCAACCGUAGAACUGCAUCCAAAACUGUCAGGCUAGAGUGGGGGAGAGGAAGAUGGAAUUAGUUGUGUAGGGGUAAAAUCCGUAGAGAUAACUAGGAAUACCAAAAGCGAAGGCAAUCUUCUGGAACACUACUGACGCUGAGGCGCGAAGGCGUGGGGAGCAAACAGGAUUAGAUACCCCAGUAGUCC
rnacentral:rRNA from 1 species